CGAGUGGCGAACGGGUGAGUAAUAUAUCGGAACAUACCCUAGAGUGGGGGAUAACGUAGCGAAAGUUACGCUAAUACCGCAUACGAUCUGAGGAUGAAAGUGGGGGAUCGCAAGACCUCAUGCUCAUGGAGUGGCCGAUAUCUGAUUAGCUAGUUGGUAGGGUAAAAGCCUACCAAGGCGACGAUCAGUAGCUGGUUUGAGAGAACGACCAGCCACACUGGAACUGAGACACGGUCCAGACUCCUACGGGAGGCAGCAGUGGGGAAUUUUGGACAAUGGGGGCAACCCUGAUCCAGCAAUGCCGCGUGAGUGAAGAAGGCCUGGUUGUAAG
rnacentral:rRNA from 1 species